GCUAAACACAAUAUUUCAGGCCCAACACGCGGCGGACCGAACGCGCUUAGUACCGACACCAUUCACUGUAUUUUGUAGAUUUUUCUCCAUCUUUGAUUAUGUCUGCUUCUUGAGAGUUUGUUUCGUUUUCCCCCAAAAGAAAAACAAGACUAAAUUGCUUUCGUCGACUUCAGUUUUGCUUAUAAUUAGCUCACUCUUAAUUCAAGCGUUACUGCUUUUAUGAGCAAAUCUUUCCUCCCUACUUUAAUCAAAUACAAGCAUUCAGCUUGAGUGAGUACUCAGUACUACUGCAUAGUGACUGAAGGGCUUAGCACUGCGUGAAGGAAAAGGAGUGAUCUGUUGGGAGUUACAAAGCCGCCUAGACAACGGCGAUGUCGUCGUGGUCUCUGAAGUUGCCUUCAACAAAGCCACAGUCAAAUCUGGAACGCUUUCUUCAAUGCGUGAGUCCAGUUGUUCCUUCUAAAAUCCUUCCUCAGAGUUGUAUCCAUGAUCUAAACAGCUCAUGGCAGCCACCUCGUAGCAAGGACAUGGUUGAAUAUUUUACUUUGGGAGAUCUGUGGGAUUGCUAUGAUGAAUGGAGUGCAUAUGGAGCUGGCACCCAAGUAUGGUUGAACAAAGAUGAGAGCAUCAUGCAAUAUUAUGUCCCUUAUCUAUCUGCUAUUCAGAUCUACAGUAAUAAGUCAGCUGUGACUUCCAGAAAUCUGAAUCCAAGAGUAUACACUGAUGCAGUCGAAUUUGAAAGCGACUCUUGGAGUGAUGACAGUACAAGUGAUAAACUAUCAAGAUCACUAAGCAAUAACUCCAACAGGACUUGGGAUACCAUUUCUGAGGAUUUAGGCUUUGACCACGAGGGUUCUUUGCUGGCAAAGGAUAGGUUUGGUUAUCUUUACCUACAAUACUUCGAGAUAUCUUCUCCAUGCUGGAGGGUUCCACUCAUGGAAAAGAUAACUGAGUUAGCUAGAAAUCAUCCGGGACUGAUGACACUCAAGAAUGUGGAUCUUUCUCCAGCAAGUUGGAUGGCUGUUGCUUGGUACCCUAUUUAUCAUAUUCCUUCUCAAAGAAAUGAUAAGGACUUAUCAACAUGUUUCCUCACUUAUCAUACAUUAUCAUCAUCUUUCCAAGAUUGUGGGAAUGAGUAUGGUGACGCGGUAGAUCCUUUAGAAGCAACAAGAAUUAAGUCCAAUGGAGACGACAAUGGUGGAAUUUUCCUUCCUCCCUUUGGGAUGGCUAGUUACAAGAUGCAAGGUGAUAUUUGGAUAAAUCGAGAGACAUCUGACCUUGAAAGAAUAAUCUAUCUUCGUGAUGCUGCAGAUUCCUGGUUGAAACAGCUAGAUGUCCACCAUCACGAUUACAACUUUUUUGCCCACCACUCUACCAUGUAAAAUGCGGUGUACUCUUUUAACUUGUUUUUCCGUAGUUUUUCCUUCUGGUAAUGUCGUGUUUGGCAGUUCUGAGCACAUUAAGAAACUAGGCGUUGAUGUGUAUCCCAGAGUCAAGUGUAAAUUGUGUAGCCCUGCAACUGGAGGGUGUAAACCCGUCAUUGCAAGUGGCUUGAUCCGGAAAGCUUUGUCAGUAUAGGUGU
rnacentral:misc_RNA from 1 species